rnacentral:rRNA from 1 species
AUUGAACGCUGGCGGCAUGCCUUACACAUGCAAGUCGAACGGCAGCACGGGGCAACCUGGUGGCGAGUGGCGAACGGGUGAGUAAUGCAUCGGAACGUACCUUUCAGUGGGGGAUAACGUAGCGAAAGUUACGCUAAUACCGCAUAUUCUGUGAGCAGGAAAGCAAGGGAUCGCAAGACCUUGCGCUGAUUGAGCGGCCGAUGUCAGAUUAGCUAGUUGGUGAGGUAAAGGCUCACCAAGGCGACGAUCUGUAGCGGGUCUGAGAGGAUGAUCCGCCACACUGGAACUGAGACACGGUCCAGACUCCUACGGGAGGCAGCAGUGGGGAAUUUUAGACAAUGGGGGCAACCCUGAUCCAGCCAUGCCGCGUGAGUGAAGAAGGCCUUCGGGUUGUAAAGCUCUUUCGGCCGGGAAGAAAUCGCACGGGCUAAUACCCUGUGUGGAUGACGGUACCGGAAUAAGAAGCACCGGCUAACUACGUGCCAGCCGCCGCCGUAAGAC